GACGAACGCUGGCGGCGUGCCUAAUACAUGCAAGUAGAACGCACGGUUUAUACCGUAGCUUGCUACACCAUAGACUGUGAGUUGCGAACGGGUGAGUAACGCGUAGGUAACCUGCCUGGUAGCGGGGGUUAACUAUUGGAAACGAUAGCUAAUACCGCAUAAUAUUAAUUAUUGCAUGAUAAUUAAUUGAAAGGUGCAAUUGCACCACUACCAGAUGGACCUGCGUUGUAUUAGCUAGUAGGUGAGGUAACGGCUCACCUAGGCGACGAUACAUAGCCGACCUGAGAGGGUGAUCGGCCACACUGGGACUGAGACACGGCCCAGACUCCUACGGGAGGCAGCAGUAGGGAAUCUUCGGCAAUGGACGAAAGUCUGACCGAGCAACGCCGCGUGAGUGAAGAAGGUUUUCGGAUCGUAAAGCUCUGUUGUAAGAGAAGAACGGGUGUGAGAGUGGAAAGUUCACACUGUGACGGUAUCUUACCAGAAAGGGACGGCUAACUACGU
rnacentral:rRNA from 1 species